CGAGCGGACAGAUGGGAGCUUGCUCCCUGAUGUUAGCGGCGGACGGGUGAGUAACACGUGGGUAACCUGCCUGUAAGACUGGGAUAACUCCGGGAAACCGGGGCUAAUACCGGAUGGUUGUUUGAACCGCAUGGUUCAGACAUAAAAGGUGGCUUCGGCUACCACUUACAGAUGGACCCGCGGCGCAUUAGCUAGUUGGUGAGGUAACGGCUCACCAAGGCAACGAUGCGUAGCCGACCUGAGAGGGUGAUCGGCCACACUGGGACUGAGACACGGCCCAGACUCCUACGGGAGGCAGCAGUAGGGAAUCUUCCGCAAUGGACGAAAGUCUGACGGAGCAACGCCGCGUGAGUGAUGAAGGUUUUCGGAUCGUAAAGCUCUGUUGUUAGGGAAGAACAAGUGCCGUUCAAAUAGGGCGGCACCUUGACGGUACCUAACCAGAAAGCCACGGCUAACUACGUGCCAGCAGCCGCGGUAAUACGUAGGUGGCAAGCGUUGUCCGGAAUUAUUGGGCGUAAAGGGCUCGCAGGCGGUUUCUUAAGUCUGAUGUGAAAGCCCCCGGCUCAACCGGGGAGGGUCAUUGGAAACUGGGGAACUUGAGUGCAGAAGAGGAGAGUGGAAUUCCACGUGUAGCGGUGAAAUGCGUAGAGAUGUGGAGGAACACCAGUGGCGAAGGCGACUCUCUGGUCUGUAACUGACGCUGAGGAGCGAAAGCGUGGGGAGCGAACAGGAUUAGAUACCCUGGUAGUCCACGCCGUAAACGAUGAGUGCUAAGUGUUUAGGGGGGUUUCCGCCCCUUAGUGGCUGCAGCUAACGCAUUAAGCACUCCGCCUGGGGGAGUACGGUCGCAAGACUGAAACUCAAAGGAAUUUGACGGGGGCCCGCACAAGCGGUGGAAGCAUGUGGGUUUAAUUCGAAGCAACGCGAAGAACCUUACCAGGUCUUGACAUCCUCUGACAAUCCUAGAAGAUAGGACGUCCCCUUCGGGGGCAGAGUGACAGGUGGGUGCAUGGUUGUCGUCAGCUCGUGUCCUGAAAUGUUUGGGUUAAGUCCCGCAACGAGCGCAACCCUUGGAUCUUAGUUGCCAGCAU
rnacentral:rRNA from 1 species